AGGAUUAACGCUGGCGGCGUGCCUAACACAUGCAAGUCGAACGAGGGGGGCAACCCCCGAGUGGCAGACGGGUGAGUAACGCGUGGUCAACCUACCCUAGAGUGGGGAAUAACUAGCCGAAAGGUUAGCUAAUACCGCAUGAUACGUUUUGGGACAUCCCAGGACGUUGAAAGGAGCAAUCCGCUCGAGGACGGGACCGCGUCCGAUUAGCUAGUUGGUGAGGUAACGGCCCACCAAGGCUCCGAUCGGUAGCUGGUUUGAGAGAGCGACCAGCCACACUGGGACUGAGAAACGGCCCAGACUCCUACGGGAGGCAGCAGUGAGGAAUUUUCCGCAAUGGGCGAAAGCCUGACGGAGCGACGCCGCGUGUGGGAAGAAGGCCUUCGGGUCGUAAACCACUGUCGAAGGGACUAUACUGAAGGUACCCUUGGAGGAAGCCCGGCUACUACGCGCCAGCAGCCGC
rnacentral:rRNA from 1 species